UCCCUGGUGGCUCAGACGGUAAAGAAUCUGCUUUCAAUGCAGGAGACUCAGGUUCCAUCCCUGAUUGGGAAG
rnacentral:tRNA from 1 species